UGACCAUGUGUUUAACGGCCGCGGUAUUUUGACCGUGCAAAGGUAGCGCAAUCACUUGUCUUCUAAAUAAAGACCCGUAUGAACGGUAAAACGAGGGCUUAACUGUCUCCUUUUUCAUGUCAAUGAAAUUGAUCUUCCCGUGCAGAAGCGGGAAUCUCCCCAUAAGACGAGAAGACCCUAUGGAGCUUUAGACACCUGAACAGACCACGUCAAAGCCCCCUGAUAAAGGCCCAAACUAAAUGAACCCUGUCCCAGUGUCUUUGGUUGGGGCGACCACGGGGAACUACACAACCCCCAUGUGGAAUGGAAGCAUUUUGCUGCCACAACUAAGAGCUCCCGCUCUAAUAAACAGAAUUUCUGACCAAUACAGAUCCGGCAAAGCCGAUCAACGAACCUAGUUACCCUAGGGAUAACAGCGCUAUCCUCUUUCAGAGCCCCCAUCGACAAGAGGGUUUACGACCUCGAU
rnacentral:rRNA from 1 species